GGGCCUUUACGGCGCGUAUUUCCGGGAUUUUCGGGCUAUUGAGUCCUGGACAUGUCAGGGCCGACGCUGCCUGAUUGUAUCCGUGGGUCGUGGGUUCGAUCCCCACAGGGCCCA
rnacentral:tRNA from 1 species